rnacentral:rRNA from 1 species
AUUGAACGCUGGCGGCAGGCCUAACACAUGCAAGUCGAGCGAGGGGCGGGCGGGUGAAUUAUGCCUGGGAAUGACACUGAUGGGGGAGAACACUAUUAGAAACGAUAUCUAAUCCCGCAUGCGUCAGGAUUGGCCCAGGUGGGAUUAGCUAGUUGGUGGGGUAAUGGCUCACCAAGGCGACGAUCCCUAGCUGGUCUGAGAGGAUGAUCAGCCACACUGGAACUGAGACACGGUCCAGACUCCUACGGGAGGCAGCAGUGGGGAAUAUUGGACAAUGGGGGAAACCCUGAUGCAGCCAUGCCGCGUGUAUGAAGAAGGCCUUCGGGUUGUAAAGUACUUUCAGUUGUGAGGCGGUAGCAACAGAAGAAGCACCGGCUAACUCCGUGCCAGCAGCCGCGGUAAUUC